AUUGAACGCUGGCGGCAGGCUUAACACAUGCAAGUCGAGCGGGGUGAGGUGCUUCGGUACUGAUCCUAGCGGCGGACGGGUGAGUAAUGCUUAGGAAUCUGCCAUUUAGUGGGGGACAACAUUCCGAAAGGGAUGCUAAUACCGCAUACGUCCCACGGGAGAAAGCAGGGGAUCUUCGGACCUUGCGCUAAAUGAUGAGCCUAAGUCGGAUUAGCUAGUUGGUGGGGUAAAGGCCUACCAAGGCGACGAUCUGUAGCGGGUCUGAGAGGAUGAUCCGCCACACUGGGACUGGGACACGGCCCAGACUCCGACGGGAGGCAGCAGUGGGGAAUAUUGGACAAUGGGCGGAAGCCUGAUCCAGCCAUGCCGCGUGUGUGAAGAAGGCCUUUUGGUUGUAAAGCACUUUAAGCGAGGAGGAGGCUACCUAGAUUAAUACUCUGGGAUAGUGGACGUUACUCGCAGAAUAAGCACCGGCUAACUCUGUGCCAGCCGCCGCGGUAACAC
rnacentral:rRNA from 1 species